rnacentral:rRNA from 1 species
UACGUAGGGCGCAAGCGUUAUCCGGAAUUAUUGGGCGUAAAGAGCUCGUAGGCGGUUUGUCGCGUCUGCCGUGAAAGUCCGGGGCUCAACUCCGGAUCUGCGGUGGGUACGGGCAGACUAGAGUGAUGUAGGGGAGACUGGAAUUCCUGGUGUAGCGGUGAAAUGCGCAGAUAUCAGGAGGAACACCGGUGGCGAAGGCGGUUCUCUGGGCCUGUACUGACGCUGAGGAACGAAAGCGUGGGGAGCAAACAGG